rnacentral:rRNA from 1 species
GAUGAACGCUGGCGGCGUGCCUAAUACAUGCAAGUCGAGCGAACAGACGAGGAGCUUGCUCCUCUGACGUUAGCGGCGGACGGGUGAGUAACACGUGGAUAACCUACCUAUAAGACUGGGAUAACUUCGGGAAACCGGAGCUAAUACCGGAUAAUAUAUUGAACCGCAUGGUUCAAUAGUGAAAGACGGUUUUGCUGUCACUUAUAGAUGGAUCCGCGCCGCAUUAGCUAGUUGGUAAGGUAACGGCUUACCAAGGCGACGAUGCGUAGCCGACCUGAGAGGGUGAUCGGCCACACUGGAACUGAGACACGGUCCAGACUCCUACGGGAGGCAGCAGUAGGGAAUCUUCCGCCAUGGGCGAAAGCCUGACGGAGCAACGCCGCGUGAGUGAUGAAGGUCUUCGGAUCGUAAAACUCUGUUAGUAGGGAAGAACAAAUGUGUAAGUAACUAUGCACGUCGUGACGGUACCUAAUCAGAAAGCCACGGCUAACUACG